UAGACCACAGGCGCCGGUCUCCCACACGCCGCCGCACCUUCGGGUUCCAGCCUCACUGCCUGCGACAACCCGGCUCCGCACGACCUUUUAAAGGUAGCUUUUCUGAGCUCAAGGGAAAGCCCCAAAUAUGGGAACCUGGAAAGAAGUAUUGAGAGAGUGAUCCUUUGGGAUAGGAGGUUGAAGAAACAGCAUUUGUUCAGUGUGCCAGGCGAGAUCGUGCAUUCGUGUAUGAUUGUUUUAUUAUGAAUCCUUUCACAGGUGAGACACGUGUCCUCCUAAAACUCAAGGCGGGAAAAACACAAAAGGCCAGCCAGUUCCUGCUGGUGGACAUGCUGAAGGAGGACCUGAGAUGCUAAAGAAACAGCUCACACACAAGGGGAAGGAAGCCCAGGUAGAGGGUAUGGAUCCCUCGAACCUGUCAGCAGACGGAACACGCGGGAAGGCGAGACCUGGACUAAAACUCCCUGACCUAGCUAAAGAGACAGACCAUGAGACAGGCGGAGUAGCACGUGCCUGUAACUCCAGCACUUACAAGGCCAGCCUGGGCUACAUGAAACCCUGACUCAAAACAACACGCAAAAAGGAAAUGGAUCAGAAGCCAGGUAGGAGGAGCACAGCCUCUGAGGGCUCCUCGUGUGCAGAGAAACAGCUCCAUCCGAGAACACAGCCUGGACCUCCGCCUACUCAUGUGAUGAAGGAACAACAGUAGCCUUGGCAACCCUCCCUUGUGCCACCUACCUGCAGCCAGCUUCUCCCCCACCACCAUCACCAGCAGGUCACUCUGGCCAUCUUUGAUGGCCCUCUAUGGGAGAUAUCACUAUGACCUCAGCUUCCCCCUGGUUGGUUGGCAAGAGUAUCUUGCUACAACCAACCUUUUCAUGGAUACAUGGUCAUAUCAUCUGCGGGCUGGUGAGGUGGACACCUGCCAUCAAGUCUGUCAAGCUGAGUUCUAUCCCUCAGACCAAGGUAAAAGAAGAGAACCA
rnacentral:lncRNA from 1 species